rnacentral:rRNA from 1 species
GCAAGUCGAACGAGGUAGCAAUACCUAGUGGCGCACGGGUGAGUAACGCGUGGAUAAUCUGCCCUUCACUGGGGAAUAACUAAUCGAAAGGUUAGCUAAUACCGCAUGAGGCCACAGUUUCUGAGGAAGCAGUGGUUAAAGAUUUAUUGGUGAAGGAUGAGUCUGCGUGGGAUUAGCUAGUUGGUGAGGUAAUGGCUCACCAAGGCUACGAUCUCUAACAGGUCUGAGAGGAUGACCUGUCACACUGGAACUGAGACACGGUCCAGACUCCUACGGGAGGCAGCAGUAGGGAAUAUUGCGCAAUGGACGAAAGUCUGACGCAGCGACGCCGCGUGAGUGAUGAAGGCCUUAGGGUCGUAAAGCUCUGUUGCAGGGGAAGAAAAAAAUGACGGUACCCUGCGAGAAAGGAUCGGCUAACUUCGUGCCAGCAGCCGCGGUAAGACGAGGGAUCCUAGCGUUGUUCGGAAUCAUUGGGCGUAAAGCGCAUGUAGGCUGCCAUUCAAGUCAGUUGUGAAAGCCCCGGGCUCAACCCGGGAAGUGCUUCUGAUACUGUUUGGCUUGAGUACUAGAGAGGAUAGUAGAAUUCCAGGUGUAGUGGUGAAAUACGUAGAUAUCUGGAGGAAUACCGG